rnacentral:rRNA from 1 species
AGUGAACGCUGGCGGUAGGCCUAACACAUGCAAGUCGAACGGCAGCACAGUAAGAGCUUGCUCUUACGGGUGGCGAGUGGCGGACGGGUGAGGAAUACAUCGGAAUCUACUUUUUCGUGGGGGAUAACGUAGGGAAACUUACGCUAAUACCGCAUACGACCUACGGGUGAAAGCAGGGGAUCUUCGGACCUUGCGCGAUUGAAUGAGCCGAUGUCGGAUUGGCUAGUUGGCGGGGUAAAGGCCCACCAAGGCGACGAUCCGUAGCUGGUCUGAGAGGAUGAUCAGCCACACUGGAACUGAGACACGGUCCAGACUCCUACGGGAGGCAGCAGUGGGGAAUAUUGGACAAUGGGCGCAAGCCUGAUCCAGCGAUACCGCGUGGGUGAAGAAGGCGUUCGGGUUGUAAAGCCCUUUUGUUGGGAAAGAAAAGCAGCAGGUUAAUACCCCGCUGUUCUGACGGUACCCAAAGAAUAAGCACCGGCUAACUUCGUG